GUCACCCCCGCUUCUGGGCAGGGGGUGGAGAAAGAUUAAUGGCUCCACACCCCUUGUACUCUAAGGGAACCAUCCAUAAGUGGCGGCUUCAGCUGUUGGUGGUGUUAGGCCUACGCAUGCCAAGUAUCCCAGCCUGGGAGAGGCGAGUCCUCGGUUCUUAGGAGAAGGGCGAGGAUGACACACCUUGUUAUACUGCUGUUAAAAUAAUUUAGAACAAAGAUGCAUGAACUGAGACAUAGAGGCUGUGACUUGUUCAAGGACAUACUGACAAUACAAACCAACAGUCCUUGCUGCCCAGUGUCAGGUAUGACUAGCCUCUUUGAGAGAAAGAAGAAUCCCAUGCACCUGGACUGAUCACCCGCUGCCUAACUUAGGGGAAGGCACCUGGACCUUAUAAGGGGUAGACAGCUACAGGUGCCUUCAGGGAGUAAGAAUGCCCCUGCAGGGGCCUGAAUUAGUGGGGAAAGAUACAGUGAAGGAAGAGAGGAUUUGGCCUUCUCCACAGGACUUUUCCCCCAGUAGUGUUUUCCCCCUGCUAACUCAGGGCCUUGUAGAUGCUUUCUUAUUUCCCAUGCAUAUGCUGCCACCCACGUACAGUGAUUUUCUUCUUUAUAAGGCCUAAGUGCCUUUUCUUAAGCCCAACUGGGUAGCAGAUAAUCUGUUGAGGGGCACUGGACCCUGCUCCCUUUUAAAGGGGCAGUGCUCAUGGGACAUUCAGCUUCCCUGAGCUGAAUGAUUCUAAAGUGUUAUCCCUGUGGUAGUCUAUGCGGAUAGGGGGCCUGAAAAUGUUGUUGUUGUGUACAGCUUAAUUAACUAUGAUAGUGUAAUGAACCUGUUCAUUCAUUACAGGGGACUGUAUUCAUCCCCAGUUCAAUAUCUAGCCAGCACAGGUUUCAGAGUAGCAGCCGUGUUAGUCUGUAUUUGCAAAAAAGAAAAGGAGUACUUGUGGCACCUUAGAGACUAACAAAUUUAUUUGAGCAUAAGCUUUCGUGAGCUACAGCUCACUU